UUCCGGUUGAUCCUGCCGGACCUGACUGCUAUCGGAUUGAUACUAAGCCAUGCGAGUCAUUGUAGUAAUACAAGGCAGACGGCUCAGUAACGCGUAGUCAACCUACCCUAUGGACGGGGAUAACCUCGGGAAACUGGGAAUAAUACCCGAUAGAACAUUAUACCUGGAAUGGUUUAUGUUUCAAAUAAUUUAUUGCCGUAGGAUGGGACUGCGGCCUAUCAGUUUGUUGGUGAGGUAAUGGCCCACCAAGACUAUUACAGGUACGGGCUCUGAGAGGAGUAGCCCGGAGAUGGGUACUGAGACACGGACCCAGGCCCUAUGGGGCGCAGCAGGCGAGAAAACUUUGCAAUGUGCGAAAGCACGACAAGGUUAAUCCGAGUGGUUUCUGCUAAAGGAACCUUUUGUCAGUCCUAGAAACACUGGUGAAUAAGGGGUGGGCAAGUUCUGGUGUCAGCCGCCGCGGUAAAACCAGCACCUCAAGUGGUCAGGAUGAUUAUUGGGCCUAAAGCAUCCGUAGCCUGCUUUGUUAGUUUUCGGUUAAAUCCAUGCGCUCAACGUAUGGGCUGCCGGGAAUACUGCAAAGCUAGGGAGUGGGAGAGGUAGACGGUACUCGGUAGGAAGGGGUAAAAUCCUUUGAUCUAUUGAUGACCACCUGUGGCGAAGGCGGUCUACCAGAACACGUCCGACGGUGAGGGAUGAAAGCUGGGGGAGCAAACCGGAUUAGAUACCCGGGUAGUCCCAGCUGUAAACUAUGCAAACUCGGUGAUGCAUUGGCUUGAUGCCAAUGCAGUGCCGCAGGAAGCCGUUAAGUUUGCCGCCUGGGAAGUACGUACGCAAGUAUGAACUUAAAGGAAUUGGCGGGGGAGCACCACAAGGGUGAAGCCUGCGUUCAAUUGGAUUCAACGCCGGGA
rnacentral:rRNA from 1 species